rnacentral:rRNA from 1 species
AUGAAAGAGAUAGAGAUGGAGAUGGAUGGAGAUGGUUCAGCUGCCCCCAGCGCCUAUCCUUCGUCGCCAUAUGAUGGCGCGCCUCUGGCAAUCGCCCCUCACCCGGAGACGGAUCCUUUGACGGGUUGCUACGCACCACCGGCACAGGCUCAUGCGGAUCGUACGGCGGCGCCGUCGUCGUUUUACUUCUCGCACCUCCUUCCAGUGAAGCUUACGCCGAAUAAUUACUUGUCAUGGCGGGCUCAGGUGCUACCUCUCCUCCGAAGCCGCUACCUGGAGGGAUACGUUGACGGCUCCAACCCGUGUCCGCCGCCGUAUCAUCCGGCGUAUCACGUGUGGGUGGCCCAGGAUCAGGCAAUCCUCUCCGCUAUCCAGUCAUCGCUCACUCCGAGCGUGUCGUCGCUGGUCAUCUUCGCCGCGACGUCUCGGGAUGCCUGGUCGGCGCUUCACAGCAGCUUCGCCUCACAAUCUAUGACGAGUGAUCAUGCUAUACGCACCGAGUUGGGGGAGACUAAACUCGGCGGCCUAACCAUCACUGAGUACUUCACCAAGAUGCCCGGUCUCGCUGACACCUUGGCCUCGAUCGGCCAACCGCUUGGAGAUGAGGAAUUCAGCACCCACGUGCUCAAUGACCUUGAUGAUGAUUAUGACAAUCUCGUCGAGAAUAUCCAUGGUCGUGAGGCUCCACUUCCGCCACGAGAGCUCUAUGUGCGUCUUAUUGGUCGUGAACAGCGCAUCAAAGCGCGUCGUGCCUCUCCGAGCUUCGUCUCUGUCAAUGUCGCGACCCGCGGUAAGCCACAGAAGCCGUCGCCACUUGGUGGGAAGUCGGCCUCAUCCCCGCAGGCUCCGCGGGGCGCUGCGCCAUCCAUCACUGGCGGUGCCAGGCCGGUGGCUUGUUAUCCCUGUUGCGGUGCUCAGCAGGCCUGUCAGCUGUGUAGCAUUGAGCGCCACAUCGCCUCCCGUUGUCAUCGAUGCUACAAGCAAGAUUUCCUCGGCCUGGGCAAUAAUGGCAAAGGGAAUGAAAAACAGGCUGUUGCGGUGGCAAGUCAUGAACAUGGGCGCACUCCAUCCUACUCCAUUGAUCCUACAUGGUAUAUGGACACGGGAGCCAUGAACCACCUCACCAACGAGAUGGCCAAGCUCUCCACUCAGGAACCAUAUCGCGGUCAUGAUCAGGUGCACACCGCCAAUGGAGCAGGAUCGGGACAUGAGGGCCGUUCUGCUUAG